UCUCCCCCUCACUCUCUCGUCGCUGGAUGCUCACUUGCUCUGUCUCCUUCCUAGAUGCUCACUCGCUCUCUCUCUCUCUUUCUCUCUCUCUCUUUCUCGCUCUUUCUCUACCAUGUGCUCGCUCAAGAUAAGUCUCCCCCUUCUCUCCCCCCACCCUCUCUCUCUUUGUCUCGCUCUACCCCCUACUGAGUGCUUGCUCAUGCUCUGCCAAACACUCACUAGAGGUAAGCCUUUCCCCUCUUUUUCUCUGUCCUUCUCCCUCCCUCCCUCUUCUCUCUCCAUCCCUCUC
rnacentral:lncRNA from 1 species